GACAGAGGGUGCAAACGUUGUUCGGAAUUACUGGGCGUAAAGCGCGUGUAGGCGGCCCCGCAAGUCGGGUGUGAAAUCCCACGGCUCAACCGUGGAAGUGCACUCGAAACUGCAGGGCUAGAGUCCUGGAGAGGAAGGUGGAAUGCUUGGUGUAGAGGUGAAAUUCGUAGAUAUCAAGCGGAACACCGGUGGCGAAGGCGGCCUUCUGGACAGUGACUGACGCUGAGACGCGAAAGCGUGGGGAGCAAACAGG
rnacentral:rRNA from 1 species